UGUUCAAAGCUUCAGAUCUUCUGUAAAAAGAUACUCGGGGUUUUCGCUUGAUUAGCCUUUUCUUCAGUAAAGGACUAAUGACUUCUGACCAAAAGAACAAACAUGUCUGCUCAGCAAAGUCGGAAGCUGAGAUGAAACUUAGGCGACAUGAAACGUAUAGACUAAUAUUUGCCGGAAAAAAAGAAGCACUAUUACUACAACGACGAACAAAAAGACAAGAGUCAAAAAAAAGGUAUUUGUCCGACAAUGAUGGUUUCCAUGGCACUACUGAAGCUGCAUUUGAGUUUCAGCAACAAAUUGUUCCUCUGGUGGGCUCUUCAGCAACAGGUUAGAAUACAUCUUUUGUUCUUUUACUUUUUGUAGAAGUGUCGCUUCACGGUCUUUGCAUGUGAGUUUAAUUAAAUGAUGCUAAUUGUGUGAUGUUUCCCCUAUUAGCCAACGAGCCUCACGUUGAUGCUUUGCCGGUUACAAUUGAAAAGCAAAAGAAUAUAACUUAUCCCUUCUACUCCUUUGAAAUAGGCAAGUAUCAAGGAUACAACAUUGAGUUAUAUAUCUACGAUACAUAACGUCUUUA